UNUAGAUGAGGUGGCCUCCCUAUUAAUUG
rnacentral:piRNA from 1 species